ensembl:snRNA U6 U6 spliceosomal RNA
AAGCUCACUUUGGCAGCACAUAUAUUAAAACUGGAAUAAUACAGAGGAGAUUAGCAUGACUCCUGCACAAGGAUAACACACAAAUUCCUGAAGCAUUCCAUAUUUUU